rnacentral:rRNA from 1 species
CCUACGGGUGGCAGCAGUGGGGAAUAUUGCGCAAUGGGCGAAAGCCUGACGCAGCGACGCCGCGUGAGGGAUGAAGGUCUUCGGAUCGUAAACCUCUGUCAGCAGGGAAGAACGGUCACUGUGCUAAUCAGCAGUGAAUUGACGGUACCUGCAAAGGAAGCACCGGCUAACUCCGUGCCAGCAGCCGCGGUAAUACGGAGGGUGCGAGCGUUAAUCGGAAUUACUGGGCGUAAAGCGCUCGUAGGCGGUAUGUCAAGUCAAGGGUGAAAUCCCCGCGCUCAACGUGGGAACUGCCUUUGAAACUGGCGAACUGGAGUGUGAGAGAGGAUAGUGGAAUUCCAGGUGUAGGAGUGAAAUGCGUAGAUAUCUGGAAGAACAUCAGUGGCGAAGGCGACUAUCUGGCACAUAACUGACGCUGAGGAGCGAAAGCGUGGGUAGCAAACAGGAUUAGAUACCCGAGUAGUC